AUACUGAGGGUGCAAGCGUUAAUCGGAAUUACUGGGCGUAAAGCGCGCGUAGGCGGUUUAUCAAGUCAGAUGUGAAAGCCCUGGGCUCAACCUGGGAACUGCAUUUGAAACUGAUAAACUAGAGUUUGGUAGAGGGUGACGGAAUUCCAGGUGUAGCGGUGAAAUGCGUAGAUAUCUGGAGGAACAUCAGUGGCGAAGGCGGUUGCCUGGACCAAAACUGACGCUGAGGUGCGAAAGCGUGGGGAGCAAACAGGAUUAGAUACCCCAGUAGUCC
rnacentral:rRNA from 1 species